AGCAGCCGCGGUAAUUCUAGCUCCAAUAGCGUAUAUUAAAGUUGUUGCAGUUAAAAAGCUCGUAGUUGAAUUUCGGGAUCAAUAUUUCGGUCAUGCCGUUGGUAUGCACUGUUAUCAUUGAUUUCUCACCUUCUAAAGAACCGUAAUGCCAUUAAUUUGGUGUUACGGGGAAUUAGGACUGUUACCUUGAAAAAAUUAGAGUGUUUAAAGCAGGCUCACGCUUGAAUACAUUAGCAUGGAAUAAUGAAAUAGGACAUCCGAUUCUAUUUUGUUGGUUUCUAGGAUCGAUGUAAUGAUUAAUAGGGAUAGUUGGGGGCAUUAGUAUUCAAUUGUCAGAGGUGAAAUUCUUGGAUUUAUUGAAGACUAACUACUGCGAAAGCAUUUGCCAAGGAUGUUUUCAUUAAUCAAGAACGAAAGUUAGGGGAUCGAAGACGAUCAGAUACCGUCGUAGUCUUAACCAUAAACUAUGCCGACUAGGGAUCGGAUGAUGUUAAUUUUUAAUGACUCAUUCGGUG
rnacentral:rRNA from 1 species